GUGCCAGCAGCCGCGGUAAUACAUAGGUGGCAAGCGUUAUCCGGAUUUAUUGGGCGUAUAGGGUGCGUAGGCGGUUUUGCAAGUUUGUGGUCAAAUCCCGAGGCUCAACCUCGGUUCGCCAUGAAAACUGCAUCACUAGAAUACAAGAGAGGUAAACGGAAUUCCAUGUGUAGCGGUGAAAUGCGUAGAUAUAUGGAAGAACACCUGUGGCGAAAGCGGUUUACUGGCUUGUUAUUGACGCUGAGGCACGAAGCGUGGGAGC
rnacentral:rRNA from 1 species